GGGAGGGGGUUGUUCCCUUGUUAAUUUGGUUUAACCCCACUACAUAUGGUAUGAAUAGGAAAAAGGGAGGGGAGGGGGUUGUUCCCUUGUUAAUUUGGUUUAACCCCACUACAUAUGGUAUGAAUAGGAAAAAGGGAGGGGAGGGGUUGUUCCCAUGUUAAUCUGGUUUAACCCCACUACAUUUUUUGCUUGUACCAAGUCAUGCUAUCUGGACCCUGUUUUGUUCUUUGUUGUUUGUUUUUGUUUGUAAGUCUAUUUUUCGGAGAGUUGGACGUUGGUGGUUUUUAAUGAGGUCUGUUUUUAAUACUGUCCAAUAUUUUUUAAGGGCCAGUGUAAGCUUUUCCCCAUCACUUGGCGUCAGUUGUCUGUUGUCAUCAGUUGACUUUUACAAAAAUCUUCUCUGAAACUACUGGGCCAAAUGGGCGCAAAUUUGGCCACAGUCAUUCUUAGGGUAUGUAGAUUAAAAAGUGUGUUCUAUGAUCCCGCUUGCCAUGCAACAUGGCUGGCAAGGCUAAACAUAGGGGUAAAAUGUAUCAUUGGCAAUCAUACCACAUCUCCUUAUUUUUAUAUUGUUUAUUAUAUCUUGUAAACUGUUAUAGACAGAGAAAACCUGACAGAGCGAAAAAAUAUCAGAUUGUCAUGAUCUACCUACCAUUCAUUUAGACCAAAACUGUCAGACGGCUGCAGAGGAGGGUCAGCAAUUGUUAAGUUUUCUUUAAGUUUUCUGCCAAAGUUAGAUUGAUAGGAACUACUUGUGAUAGAUCAAUGAUAUUUGAUAUAAAGUUUCAUUACUAUCAGUA